rnacentral:rRNA from 1 species
AGUGAACGCUGGCGGUAGGCCUAACACAUGCAAGUCGAACGGCAGCACAGUAAGAGCUUGCUCUUACGGGUGGCGAGUGGCGGACGGGUGAGGAAUACAUCGGAAUCUACUUUUUCGUGGGUGAUAACGUAGGGAAACUUACGCUAAUACCGCAUACGACCUACGGGUUAAAGCAGUGGAUCUUCGGACCUUUCGCGAUUGAAUGAGCCGAUGUCGGAUUAGCUAGUUGGCGGGGUAAAGGCCCACCAAGGCGACGAUCCGUAGCUGGUCUGAGAGGAUGAUCAGCCACACUGGAACUGAGACACGGUCCAGACUCCUACGGGAGGCAGCAGUGGGGAAUAUUGGACAAUGGGCGCAAGCCUGAUCCAGCUAUACCGCGUGAGUGAAGAAGGCCUUCGGAUUGUAAAGCCCUUUUGUUGGGAAAGAAAAGCAGCAGGAUAAUACCCCGCUGUUCUGACGGUACCCAAAGAAUAAGCACCGGCUAACUUCGUG